UACAGAGGUCUCAAGCGUUGUUCGGAUUCAUUGGGCGUAAAGGGCGCGUAGGCUGCGGGGCAAGUCGGGUGUGAAAUCUCAGAGCUCAACUCUGAAACUGCACUCGAUACUGCUUUGCUCGAGGACUGGAGAGGAGAUUGGAAUUCACGGUGUAGCAGUGAAAUGCGUAGAUAUCGUGAGGAAGACCAGUGGCGAAGGCGGAUCUCUGGACAGUUCCUGACGCUGAGGCGCGAAGGCCCAGGGGAGCAAACGGG
rnacentral:rRNA from 1 species